CUAAAAUGGUUAUUUAAUAACCACUGAGACAAUGUUUCAGCAAGUUCUACUCCCUAAGACCCGAUUAGUAAACUAAUACACAUUCGAGCUGCCUAUACACUACAUGAGUCAAAGGACUUACCUUGGCCUCAAAUUCCACCUGCAUAUUAGCACAAAUCAAUAGGCACCCAAACAAUCACAUCACAGAUUGAAGCAUCGAUCAAAUCGACCUAGUCGAUUACACGCCAAUAAGACCACUCACGGUCAUUCCCAUUCAAUCAACCAAUACACAAAAUCAGAUCAAAACAAUGAUCAAUCGACCUAGUCGAUUACAUAUCAUUCGGACCAUCUCUCGAUCACAUCAACACCAUACUUUAUAAUCUCCAUUCGGGUACUCAGUCACAGAGCCAGAUGAAUGCUCUCGGGCGUCUUUUUCGCCAAGGUAACGUACCAAUUACCGAUUACGAUAACCUCCAGCAGUACACUUAGUCACAAAGCCUCAUUAAUGCUCUCGGGCGCUGCUUCCGCCAAGGUGACGUGUAUAAUGGACAGCACUCGUGCGUUCUCUAAGGCGCCGUUUUCACCAGUGAUAUCCUUCAUCACCGAACCACAUAUGUCCAUACUGCUGCAUGUAAUAGACAGCACUCGUGCGUUCUUUAAGGCGCCGUUUUCACCAGUGAUAUCCUUUAAUCACCGAACCACGUAUGUCUCAUUACAUCGUUCCUGAUUGGUUUCAGCCGAGAAUUUCCCCAAUUCACUUUUAUAGUUCCCUCUGCUUUACAGUUCAUUACAGCAUUAUCGAUGCUAAAUAAUAAUACUCGGCCAUCAACCAAUCAAUCAUUCAAUUUCAUUCAAUUUGGGAUAAAUCACUAAAAUUGCACAACCAAAUCAAUUCCACGCAAUGUAGAACUCAAAUAAAUAAACAGACUGUACCACGACAAUCAGCACGAAAUUCUGGUCACCGGCCAUCCCGGUUGAAUUUCCGGAAAAUAAAUAAUUA
rnacentral:lncRNA from 1 species